rfam:Eubacterium dolichum CAG:375 genomic scaffold, scf157
UCUUUCGUGAGGAAGAAUCUGAAGGAAGGUCUAGGCAAAACUCCGUACUGAGGAACACGAACUAAAUCAGGCUUUCAAUGGGGAUGAGUGUGCUAAAUACCAUCACACAAGUGUUGACUCUAAUCCAUGAACCACUAUUUAGUGAAUCUAGUUUUGGAUUUAGACCAGAUA